GACAACCAACACAAACACAUUAAGGAAUCAAAUAUCAACAACUCUGUAGUCACAUAAAUUGAAUGGAAAACUGCAUUGCUGCCAUCAUUGAUGAACCAUAUCUUCUGGGUUUUGAGUUAACAUGUUAAUAAAACAGGUAACAGUUCUACGCCUGAGCAUUGUAUUUACUUCCUCUGAUCCAAUAUAAGGCCCUGUUUGAUAGCAAAGCAUUUUCUAAGUAUUUUGAGAACACUACAGUUUUUGUGAUUACCAUAGUUUUAUUUACAACGAGGUGUUUGGUCGCCCUUAAAAAAUUGUGGUUUUAAUACUACAGUAUUUGCUAAACCAUGGUUUUUUCUCUGUAUUAAAAAAAGAGCCCCAUUCCUCUUUUUAAAAAACAGAGGAGCUGAAAAGAACGUCAUGGCACCGCGUUAUCCUCUCCCCCGCUGUUCAACAACUCGUUUCGCUCUCCAAGGGAACUCGUCUGCUCCCACGCCCCGCCCCCGCGGCGGCUGCUGCCCUGCCCGAGUGCCCUUUUUAUAACCUACAAGCCUUGAGCAUGGCUGUUGACUGGAGUUUUGUUUGUGCAAGCUUCGGUUGCUAUGCACGCGGAUGGUAAGGACUGGCCAGCUGGCUAGCUAGCUGGAAAAAAGCGCUGCUGUGUGGCCGUGUGCAUGGCCGUUCUUUGGCUGGUUGCUACAUGCAACGGCUAGCACCGCAAGAAAAACGGGCGUGUUUGCAGCUAGUAUGACUAAUUUUACAACACUGUCAAACAGCUUCUCUGUAUUGUUAAUACUUUAAAAAUACUCUGCUAUGUCAAUAUCACAGUAUUUCACGCCUACUGUCUAAAUUACUGUAGUUUUUUGAUACUUUGGUUUUUGCAAUACUUUACUAUCAAACACAG
rnacentral:lncRNA from 1 species